rnacentral:lncRNA from 1 species
UCUUACGUAAGCAUCAAUAAUUAAUACCACGUGCUACUAUGCAACCAUGCAUAUUACUGUACUUUUACCACCGGGUAGUUCAAUAGUUAACGGUAAAACUUUCGCCGUUAUUUUUAUAAAAAGAUAUUUAUGUCAUUUUCUAACUACGACAAUACUUUCGUUGUGGGGGUCCACCAAUGAUUGUACCGUUGUACCAAUAUUCCCUGUUAAAACGAAUAUUCCUCGAC